AGUGAUUUUUUUUUAAAUGGCCGCAGUACCUUGACUGUGCUAAGGUAGCAUAAUCAAUUGGCUUCUAAUUAAAGUCUGGAAUGAAAGGAAAUAUGAAGUAAUUCUAUCUUAAAGGAUUUUUUUUGAAUUUAUUUAAAUGAUGAAAAUAUCAUUUUAUAGAAAAAAGACGAAAAGACCCUUAAAGUUUUGAUAUUUAUAUAUUUUUGUUGGGGCGACAGGUAAACAUAUAACUUUACGAAUUAUUAUUGAUCGAUUUUUUAUAAAAAUAAUAAAACUACCUUAGGGAUAACAGCAUUAUAUUUUUUUAUGAUUGUGACCUCGAUGUUGGACUAGGAACUUUAUGGCUAGCCGUCAAAAAAGAUUUGUUCUGUUCGAACAAUUUUAUCCUACAUGAUCUGAGUCAG
rnacentral:rRNA from 1 species